rnacentral:misc_RNA from 1 species
GGAAGAUUUGUCUAUUGGACUUAUAUUUAUUCAUGAAGUAUCUAGGCAUGUUGAAGACGAGAUAAUUUAUGAUAGACACAUAGGCACCUAAUUAUCCGUGUAUACUAUCAACAUGUAGAUAAAUUAUCCAAUUUUAAAUAUUUGCACUAACUACUCGUAUGUGAUACCUACUUAAUAAUGGCGUGAGCGUUGAAAUGAUAAGUUGUGUAUUAAUUCAGUUUUAAAUUAUAUAAAGUAAUUAAAAUGUCACAAAAUACAAGCAAUAACAUGUCUAACUUAGCUUGUGUAAAUAAUAAAACUGAAGUUAGUAUGGAAAAAGAAGAAUAUGUUGUUUUUGAAGACGCUUUAGUUCUAACGGGUUUCGGCAAAUACAACUACAGAGUGUUGAUCCUUAGUGUGUACUCUCUGAUCGCAGCCAUUGCAGAAGUAUUCAGCGGAGGCAUCAUCGUAGCAGCCAGUCAGUGUGACCUUGCCCUUGGCGUUUUCGAGAAGGGCAUCAUUGGAUCUGUCCCUGUCUUGGGAGUAAUCAUAAGUGCCCACUUCUGGGGCUACCUCGCCGACACGCGUGGGCGUCUGUAUACGCUUCACAUCACAAUUCUUGGCACGGCUGCCUUCGCCUUCUUAUGCAGUUUUGCUAAUCACUGGAUAUUUCUGACCAUUACCAAGUUUAUAUCGGCUAUAUUUGGGUGUGGAACAUAUGCCGUAAUUUACACACUUCUUGGGGAGAGCACCUUACAGACACACCGGGCACGGUUCCUCUUGUACGCUACCACAGGGAUCAUGGUGGCCCAAGCUGUCAUAUGCGGGAUAGCAUACCCAACCCUGCUACUUCGCUUUUCCUACUACGUACCAUACUUGAAUAUUUUCUUCCGGCCAUGGAGACUGUUCAACCAAAUCAUCGCCUUCCUCAGUCUUCUCAAUUACAUUCUUUUCAAGUGUUAUAUUCUGGAAAGUCCCAAGUUUUAUUUUUCAAAAGGUGAACAUGACAAAGGUUUGGAAGUACUGAAAAAAAUAUUCGCUGUAAACAAUGGACGAAAUAUGGAUGAAUUUAAUGUAAAACGAAUAGUCCUGAAUGAAGAUGAGAACAAAACGAAGAGUUCUAAUUUCUUUCAAUCGGUAUGGAACCAAACUAUUCCAUUAUUUCAUAGAAAGUACAUCAAGAAAACUGUACUCAUUUUUGCUGUUAGUGUCCCAUGUUACUGCAUAGGACCUCCGUUCUCCGUGUGGAUGCCGCUAGUGUUCAACACUUAUAAAACCUUGGGAACGUCUGACAUGAGAUUCUGUGAUAUUUUUCAAGUUCAAGAUGUACAAACUAACCCAGAAAACAAUACAUUUACUGACAUGAGUCCAGUGUGUGACGACACCAUUGUCCCUUUCACAUUCAUCGCUAUCUCCAGUUACGCUCUCAUCAUGACGGCCAUCUCCAUCAUCGCAGUUAUCAUCGUCAAGUACUUCGGCAAGAAGUUCAUGUAUAUCGGGAUCCACUUACUAGGGUCCACCCUGGCCUUUAUAAUAAACGUGGGCGAUGGCUGUCGGCUUAUCAAUGAUGUUCGCUAGAGCUGUUUCGUUCAUAUUUUUCAACAUUAUUGGAGUGCAACUAUUGAACAAUUGUACCAAUUUCCUCAUUUUUCUAGGCGUAUUUCUACUCGCCGGGGCAGCUCUGGGACUGUUCCUACCCUCAGACAGAAAACCAGCUGCAAAAGAACCUGAUAGUGAUUUGUAAAGGCGACCCUGAUGCAAUUUAACCGCCGCUAUGCCACUUUCUGGCAACGAUUUUGAUAGCCUCUGAAUGGGUUAAGUCAUAAUUACAUCGAAAUUUGACGUUUUUAAUAACAUUUGAACCAGUAAAUCUGUUAAAAUCUUUGCUAACUUAGGUCUAACUCUAGAAGUCCACGUGUCGAAGUCUAGUCCAACAUCCCACUUUGUCGCUUGUCAUAAAAGGACGAGGAGGUAAGCGGCUAUCUUUACACGAAUAACUGGUCAAAGCGGGGCCUUAUGGCAAGCAACAGUGGGACUUUCUGCUGGGAAGUCAUCAAGUCACACAUUUGCAAGUGCAUAUUAUCUAUUAGAUAUUUUGGAGAAUGUUUAUGUGGCUAAUUUUAGUGUCAUGCGUCCGCGCGGAGCGAUCCGCCAACUGUGCACAUUAUACCUUUGUAAUAAAAAUAAAUGAGAGCAAAUGA